rnacentral:lncRNA from 1 species
CAAAAAAUCCAGACCCAUCCGGUCUCAGAAGGACCCAGAAGAACUAAUCCUCCAGGUUGGAUUACUGUAGUCCCCCUUUAUGAGACACCCCUAACAGGUCUUUAAAGACUCUUCAGCUGGUCCAAAACCCGGACCUGACCCGAAAAACUCCCCACAGGAGCUGGACUGACACUGGUUCAGCAUUUCUCAGCUGUUGAGGAAAUCCUCACCCUCUGACUCCCCCCCUCCCCCCCACAGUCUGGAUAAUGACCUGGACCUCACACAGACCACAAACACGCCACCGAGCCGAGGCGCCAGCAGACCGCCUCCAUCCACUCAUCCACGCAGUGAGCUUCGCGGCCGGUCCACGCCGAUCAGCUGAUUCCCUGAUCCACCGUCACACAGAGCGGCAGAAAGAUUCAGUCUUUAAGGUUUUCAUCAUUUCAUCACUGAUUCAGUUCUAAACAAAUUCACCCUUUCAUUUAUUCACUCAGCUGGAGAUCAUGACGUUUACUUCAAGGUUUCUCCUGUGGCACCAUCAUCAUCAUCAUCAUCAUCAUCAUUAUUAUAAUUAUAAUUAUUAUUAUCUCUGUAAUUAAUAUUAUCAAUCUAAUUAUCAUAAGUAUCAUUAUUACUAUUGUCAUUAUCAUUUUUAGAAUUAUUGUAUUAAAAAUAGUUAUUAGUUAUUUUCAUUAUUUUAUUAUUAUCAUCAUAAUAAUACUUAUCAUCAUUAUCAUAAUUAUUAUAAUAUUAUCAUCGUUAUCUUUAUUAUUAUUAUUAUUAUUAUCAUUAUUAUCAAAGUUAUCUUUAUUAUUAUUAUUAUUAUUAUUAUUAUCAUUAUUAUCAAAGUUAUCUUUAUUAUUAUCAUAGUUAUCUUUAUUAUUAUUAUUAUCAUAGUUAUCUUUAUUAUUAUCAUUAUUAUCAUGGUUAUCGUUAUCAUCGUCUCGACCCUUUUCUUCUCAGCACGAACUUCUUCAGUCUUCUGUAAAUGUGGAUGCUGGAGGUCCUCUGAAGCAGAUCUGUUUCUUUUGGUCUUUAAAUUUAAAUUAUUUCUUUUUUCUUCUUUUUUUAAAUUUUUGUCCAAAUCAAACCGAGAACAUUUCUGACUUCAGGUGUUUUUUAAUAUUCAGCUCAUAUCAGAAAAGCUUCUUGUUCACGGCGAACAGACCGGCGUCGACUCAGAAAUCUGGAGUCAGGAAGUUUGUGCCAACGUGUGACGACGGAGAAGAAACACGGAAAAGUGAAAUCUAUUUGUCGACUGAGACACGAGAAAACCCGAGAAAGUGGAUCUGAAGAGAGACUCCGAGGUGGUCUUCAUGUCACUCUGACCUCCAUCAGAAACCAACAUCUCACCGCCAUAUUCUGAUGAGAGGAGCGCUCUGAUUGGACAGUAUCUAAGUAUUCAGACACACGUCCCUCUGAAUUCAGAGCUCUUUUUUUUUUAACAGGAUGAACAAAAACAGCAGAAACGUCCUCCUCCAAUAAAAACCUUCAUCUCUGUCAGAAACGCCAACAAAUCAACCGCAGCAGGAGGAAACGUCCCGCCGCUCCAUCGGCGAGUUUUCUUUACCAAGAAACGAGGGGAGAGUCGGAUCCUCCGACAUCUCUGAAAACCCAGAAUAACUGACCCCUGACCCCGCCCCUCUGUUUGGUCCUGAGGUCAUGUUAACGUCCACUUCAGUCCACUUAGAGAUAAACCAGGGGACAAAAACCGGUCCUCAGGAGACCACCUGAGUCCAGACAUGAGACCAGGACAAACUGAGACCAGGACAGACUGAGACCAGAGAGGUGGUUUAUCGUCCGUCUUUGACCCUCAUUUCAUAUUUUCAUGAAAAUCUAAAAACUAAAAUUAUAAAGAUCGUUAAAUUUUUUAACAACAAUAUUUAAAAAAAACAAACAAGUUUUUACUGCAAAUUAAAAAUAAAUAAGAUCAUCAGCUGAGACACACACACACACACACACACACACAGGACAGAGAUAUGUGAAUGAAAAGACUGUGUGUGUGUGUGUGUGUGUGUGUGUGUGUGUGUUCACCACAGGGGUUGAUGGGAUUUCUACAGCAGGACAAGUGAUGGCCCCAUAAUCCAUUUGUCAGCAAGCGGACCCUCCUCCCACACACACACACACACAAAGACGUGCACACACACACGCACACACACACACACACACACACACACCAGCGUUUGUCAUUCAAAAAUCUGCUCUCAGUAAAAUCUAAUGAAAUAAUUUUCCACCGUCACGAUUUGGAGGAAAAUUCAGUUUUUGUUUUUUUUUACAUUUAUUUUAUAUCAGAAUUAAUUUUUUCUUUUCAGACAAACUGUGAGCGGGUUUUUAUUUAUUUAAAGUCUCUCUCCUCCUCCUCCUCCUCCUCCUCCUCUCUUCACGCCGCUGCGUUAAAAGGAUCUGAGUCUUUCCUGCGGAGGAUUUAACGAGUUAACCGGCUCCACAGACUCGUUCAGGAGCGGUCGGUCGGACAGACGGAGGAGUCGGAGUUUUUGGGUUUAAAGAAGUUUAGAAAUGAGAGAAUUAAUAAAAUCUAUAAAAUUCAGAUUAAAAGUGUUUUUCUGAAUUAAAUUCUAUUUUAAAAACGCAGUGAUGCUUCUUUCUGGGUUUUUACAGCUUUUAUAUUUCAGUCAAAUUAAAGAGAAUUGGUUCUUAUAAAAACUCCUUCAAACAUGGUUUUUUAUGGCUUCAGUGUAAACGAACACGGAGGUCGAUAAUUCAGCUUUCAUAAAUCAGAACUAACCAAUGAAAGAGGAGGAAUGUGGCGGUGAAGCAGCUUCAGAUGUUUUAAUGAUGAUAACGACCUCUCAGUAAAAAAACAAAAACGCUCCAGCUGCUUUAAAAAAAACCUGAUAAUCCUCUUUGUGCGUUCGGACGCUUUAACCUUUUUCUGCUGCGCCUCGCUCCGACCGUGACGCCCGGACGGGUCCUGCUCCACUCAUUACCCCCCACCGCCACC